rnacentral:rRNA from 1 species
CGAUUAAGUAGUAAAGGGCGCACGGAGGAUGCCUUGGCACUAGGAGCCGAUGAAGGACGUGACAAACGACGAAAUGCUACGGGGAGCUGUAAGUAAGCAAAGAGCCGUAGAUAUCCGAAUGGGGGAACCCACCGCUUUUAAAAGGGCGGUACGCGAAAGCGAGGUAACGCAGGGAACUGAAACAUCUAAGUACCUGUAGGAAGAGAAAGAAAAAUCGAUUUCCUGAGUAGCGGCGAGCGAAAAGGAAAGAGCCCAAACCAAUGUGCUUGCAUAUUGGGGUUGUAGGACUCUCAACAAAGUGUAUGACAAAGUAUAGUAGAACUAGCUGGAAAGUUAGACCGUAGAAGGUAAAAGUCCUGUAUACGAAAUGCUAAGUUGGCGCGAGAGAGCACCUGAGUACGGCGGAACACGAGGAAUUCCGUCGGAAUCUACCAGGACCAUCUGGUAAGGCUAAAUACUACCUAGUGACCGAUAGUGAACCAGUACCGUGAGGGAAAGGUGAAAAGAACCCCGGGAGGGGAGUGAAAGAGAACCUGAAACCGUGUGCUUACAAGUAGUCAGAGCCCCUUGAGGGUGAUGGCGUGCCUUUUGUAGAAUGAACCGGCGAGUUACUUUAUCAUGCGAGGUUAAGUGGAAGACAUGGAGCCGCAGCGAAAGCGAGUCUUAAUAGGGCGAAAUAGUAUGAUGGAGUAGACCCGAAACCAAGUGAUCUACCCAUGGCCAGGUUGAAGUUUAGGUAACACUGAAUGGAGGACCGAACCAGGACACGUUGAAAAGUGUUUGGAUGAGCUGUGGGUAGCGGAGAAAUUCCAAUCGAACUUGGAAAUAGCUGGUUCUCUCCGAAAUAGCUUUAGGGCUAGCCUCGUUGUGAGUUUACUGGAGGUAGAGCACUGUUUGGACUAGGGGCCCAUCCCGGGUUACCGAAUUCAGACAAACUCCGAAUGCCAGAUAAAUAUCAACGGGAGUCAGACUGCGGGUGAUAAGGUUCGUAGUCGAAAGGGAAACAGCCCAGACCGCCAGCUAAGGUCCCAAAUUGUAUGUUAAGUGGAAAAGGAUGUGAUGAUGCACAGACAACCAGGAUGUUGGCUUAGAAGCAGCCACCAUUUAAAGAGUGCGUAAUAGCUCACUGGUCGAGUGACAUCGCGCCGAAAAUGUACCGGGGCUAAACAUACAACCGAAGCUGCGGAUAUAACUAAUGUUAUAUGGUAGGAGAGCGUUCUAACAUCGUAGAAGCCGAGCUGUAAGGCGAGGUGGAGAGGUUAGAAGUGAGAAUGCCGGUGUGAGUAGCGAAAGAUAGGUGAGAAUCCUAUCCACCGAAUGACUAAGGUUUCCAGAGGAAGGCUCGUCCGCUCUGGGUAAGUCGGGACCUAAGGUGAAGCCGAAUGGUGAAGCCGAUGGACAACAGGUAGAAAUUCCUGUACCACCAAAUAUCGUUUGAGAGAAGUGGGGACAGAGGAGGCUAAUUGAUCGUCCUGAUGGAAUAGGACGUCUAAGCACAAAGGUUGAGUAGUAGGCAAAUCCGCUGCU